rnacentral:rRNA from 1 species
CUUUUACAAUGAAGAGUUUGAUCCUGGCUCAGGAUGAACGCUAGCUACAGGCUUAACACAUGCAAGUCGAGGGGCAUCAGGAAGAAAGCUUGCUUUCUUUGCUGGCGACCGGCGCACGGGUGAGUAACACGUAUCCAACCUGCCCUUUACUCGGGGAUAGCCUUUCGAAAGAAAGAUUAAUACCCGAUGGGAUAAUUAUUCCGCAUGGUUUCAUUAUUAAAGGAUUCCGGUAAAGGAUGGGGAUGCGUUCCAUUAGGUUGUUGGUGAGGUAACGGCUCACCAAGCCUUCGAUGGAUAGGGGUUCUGAGAGGAAGGUCCCCCACAUUGGAACUGAGACACGGUCCAAACUCCUACGGGAGGCAGCAGUGAGGAAUAUUGGUCAAUGGGCGCUAGCCUGAACCAGCCAAGUAGCGUGAAGGAUGAAGGCUCUAUGGGUCGUAAACUUCUUUUAUAUAAGAAUAAAGUGCAGUAUGUAUACUGUUUUGUAUGUAUUAUAUGAAUAAGGAUCGGCUAACUC